rnacentral:lncRNA from 1 species
GGAUGCGGGGCUCGAUCCGAGGACCCUGAGAUCACGACCUGAGCAGAAGGCAGAGGCUCAACCCACUGAGCCACCCAGGAGCCACCUAUAUUCACCAUUUUUGUGCUCUUCAUUCUUCUGUGCACAUCUGAGUCUUCACUCCCACCUGAGAACGUCCUUCAGCAGCUCCGGUGUGCUGGUGAGAAAAUUUUUCCGAUGUCUAUCUGGAAAUGUGUUGAUUUUUAUCUUCAUUUUGAAGGAUAUUUUUGCAAGAUAUGGAAUUCUGAGUUGAUAAUUUCCUCCCCAAUUCUUUGAAAAUGUUAUUUCAUUAUUCAUAGGUUCCUUUUUCUUUUUUCCAUUUAAAUAAGAAGUCAGCUGCCCUUUCUAUCACCGUGCAUGUAUG